rnacentral:rRNA from 1 species
UACAGAGGUCUCAAGCGUUGUUCGGAUUCAUUGGGCGGAAAGGGCGCGUAGGCGGCGCGACAAGUCACUUGUGAAAUCUCCGGGCUUAACUCGGAACGGUCAAGUGAAACUGUCAUGCUAGAGUGCAGAAGGGGCAAUCGGAAUUCUUGGUGUAGCGGUGAAAUGCGUAGAUAUCAAGAGGACCACCUGAGGUGAAGACGGGUUGCUGGGCUGACACUGACGCUGAGGCGCGAAAGCCAGGGGAGCAAACGGG